rnacentral:lncRNA from 1 species
CCUCUCAGGUAAUUAGAUUUCGACUCACGUUCUGUUAGGUUGCUGAGAAAAUGCAGGAAAACUUAAAAAAGCAAGGGAAAUGGGCUAGAUAAGGGGAAGUAAGUAAUCUUAUUUAGUUACUGAAACAACGGGGUUCUGUUUUUUUUUUCUUUUUUUCUUUCAAGGUUUCCUGCAAGAAAUAUUUGUUGUAUUGAAAUAUAAAUCCUAGUUUUUCUCUUCCAAAAUUUUUUUCCACUUAGCAACUGAACUGACCAUUUGGAUUCUUAUUUGGUACUGUUGGUAGUUGGCGCUUAACCUUUUCUCAUUUUGUUUAUCACUCUUCAUCAUCAUCAUCAUCAUCAUCAUCUUCUUCUUAUUAACAGUUACGCUCAGGCUGGUUUUGAUAUGAAAGAGGUUUUCCUACAUAUAAAAUUGAUAGAGCAAGCAUCAGGAGACGACCAUCCUGCAAUAUUAAUUCAAGAAGUUUCUGAUGAUGAAGUACAGGGUUCUGUAUUCAAGCUCACAUUUGCCUGUAACUCUUUGAUUUCUUGGCCAGCCAUGUCGGGUGCACUUGAUAGUGCCUCCAUUUGUUGUAAGAAGAUACAGAUCUUCGAGAAGAAGGGGUUCACACUCGGGAUUAUUAUUCUUUUGGUUCAAGCUGGGCAUGAAAAAUUGUUUAAAAUCCGGAUCGAAAGUGCCUUGAAGUCUGCUAUAAAGAAGCCGAAACCCACUUCAGUGAAGCUGCCAUUUGGGCUUUGUGGGUGUCAAGAAGAGAACACCAGGGGGAGAGAAUUUGGGGAGAUUGAAGAAGAACCUACGGAGCAGAGUUAUAAAAACGGGAUUGAGAAUUUGAACAUGAAGAUCCAGCUUCAAACACCGCUGCCUAAUUCUUCAUUUGUUGUCUCAGUCGACGAAUGGCAGACUAUCGUAUCUGGUGCUGAUGAAAUUGGGAAAUGGUUGCUUAACUCUGACAAUCUUGAGUUUAUUGAGCAGAUUGGCACCAAUUCUUUUAAAGGUGUUUACAAGGGCAAGUGUGUUGGAAUCGAGAAACUCAAGGGCUGUGAGAAGGGAAAUUCUUAUCAAUUUGAGCUUCGGAGAGAUCUCUUGGAGUUAAUGACUUGCAGGCAUAAGAACAUUCUGCAGUUUUGUGGCGUUUGUGUUGAUGAAAAUCAUGGUUUGUGUGUUGUGACGAAGUUGAUGGAAGGUGGAUCAGUUCAUGACUUGAUGCUAAAGAACAAGAAGCUUCAGACUAAGGAGAUAAUUAGGAUUGCAGCUGAUAUAGCUGAAGGGGUCAAAUUUAUGAAUGAUCACGGUGUUGCAUAUAGAGACGUCAACACACAGAGGAUUCUGCUAGAUAAGCAUGGGAAUGCCUGUUUAGGGGACAUGGGGAUAGUCUCUGCUUGCAAGAGUGUUGGUGAAGCAAUGGAGUAUGAAACUGAUGGCUAUCGGUGGCUAGCUCCUGAGGUUUGUGUUCUUUUACUUGAUUGUAGUUAAAAAGUUCACUUAAUUCAUGUUAUUAUUGUUGACGGUAACUAUAAUUGUUGGAUGCAUGAUCGUGACGGUCAUCAUGUUAUCAGAGCAUAUCCCAGUAACCCCCAUCAAUAAUGUCAUUAGCAUUAGGUUAUAAAGCUUUAGAAUGAUUACCUCUAGAAUGGUAUGUCUGGACCGAUGGCGCAAAUUUCUUCCUCAAAUGCUGAGAAAAUAACUAGUCAAUGAUCCGUAAUCAUGAGGUUAUUAGAAGACCUUCUAUUGAUUGCUUCCUUAUGGAAUUUCUGAAUUUAUUCUGAGUGAAAGUUCAAAUGCUCCUUGAGUUGCUAUGCAAUGCGGUUUGUUUUAUUGUGAACUGGGAGCAGUCAAGGCACAAAUGUUCUUCUGGUUGGAGCUUGUUUGCAGCCUUGAGAUAUAUGCUAAUACAGUCUGC